AUGUGGUGACUGGGUUGAGAUCUGAUAUGUGGUGACUGGGUCAGGUUGAGAUCUGCUAUGUGGUGACUGGGUCAGGUUGAGAUCUGAUAUGUGGUGAUUGGGUCAGGUUGAGAUCUGCUAUGUGGUGACUGGGUCAGGUUGAGAUCUGCUAUGUGGUGACUGGGUUGAGAUCUGUUAUGUGGUGACUGGGUCAGGUUGAGAUCUGCUAUGUGGUGACUGGGUCAGGUUGAGAUCUGCUAUGUGGUGACUGGGUCAGGUUGAGAUCUGCUAUGUGGUGACUGGGUCAGGUUGAGAUCUGAUAUGUGGUGACUGGGUCAGGUUGAGAUCUGAUAUGUGGUGACUGGGUCAGGUUGAGAUCUGCUAUGUGGUGACUGGGUUGAGAUCUGCUAUGUGGUGACUGGACUAUUGCUGUGUUACCCACAGACUCUACCUGACCCAGUCAGAUCAGCCAACAACAUAAACAGGGUUGACUGUCAGGUGCUUAAAUGCAGAUUAUCUCUGUAUGAAUAAUGGUGUUCAGUGAGUUAUGAAACCAGAACUGACCUCUUCCUGGUCAGCAGCUCCUUACAGGGUGGGUGUCUGCAGGUCCUGUUGGGGAGAGAAGAGACAUCAUUCAUUUAAUAUUGACCUCAAGUUAGGAAGCCUUCAUCAUUUAUUUCACUAAACCAGUU
ensembl:lncRNA